rnacentral:rRNA from 1 species
UACGGGGGGGGCAAGCGUUGUUCGGAAUUACUGGGCGUAAAGAGUGUGUAGGCGGUGCUCUAAGUUCGGUGUGAAAUCUCCUGGCUCAACUGGGAGGGUGCGCCGGAAACUGGAGUGCUUGAGCGUGGGAGAGGAAAGCGGAAUUCCUGGUGUAGCGGUGAAAUGCGUAGAUAUCAGGAGGAACACCUGUGGUGUAGACGGCUUUCUGGACCAUAGCUGACGCUGAGACACGAAAGCGUGGGUAGCAAACAGG